AAACGUCCCGCAGCAACAGAGUAUAGACGGAGCCCUGACAGAUGGCAACAAACCACUGCUGCUCUGACAGCUAACGUUAGCCACCAGGGCUCGUAAAACUAACGAUACUAAAAAACUUUAAAUGUCGCACUGUUACGUCUGCCCCCCUGAACUUUGUCAAACACAGGAAAACACACACACAAGCAAAUUCACAAGGGCAAACACAGAGAGGCCGCUGAAUUUGAUCCCAUCCAUGGUUGUCUGUCCCUCGCUGAUGUUCAGAGGUCAGGGGCGUGAUGUCCAUCCACAACUCCUGGUUUCACAAAGGCAGACGCAAGAAUUGCGUUUGGACAAUCAACUCCAGACCUCCAUGUCUUUUUCGGUCAUUAGUGGACUCACAUUCUUCAAGAGGCAGGUGCAUCGUCUGGUUGUGGGGCAGUUGAUGUAGAGCUCAUUUAAUGAUUUAAGUUCCAAGCCACCGAAGCCUGUGAGAGGAUCCAAAAUAUCAGUUCCUCCACUUGCUGAGAGAAAGCAGUGUUUGUCCACAGCCUUCAGAUCAGCAAAUGAGGAUGGAAAAAAGAGAAGACCUGAAAAAAGGAAUAAUGGGGAAUAAACCUAAGAAAGAGAAAGGUAAAAAGUGCUAACUCAACUCAUGCUUGUAUUCUGUGCCGGUGACACCAUGAUAAACGAAGGGGUCACCACCCGGGGGCAGGCCCAUCUUAAAGGAGCCAGCGCUGUGACCUUGUACAAAAGAAGGAGUGGGUCCCCCAACGGUCACACGGAUCAAAGAGGACAAAAGCCUGAGAUGAUAACUGCACAGCAGUUGUGCACCUGAUUAUCAAGCACAUAAGCAACUGGGAUAGUAAAUUUCCCCAAGUUAGAGCCACUUAGGGUGGAGUAACAGGAUGCUUGAGAAUUAAAAAGUAAAGCAUUGACUCGCUCUAAUCUGAUUUGCAGAACGCAACAUUUUCUCUUUAUCUGCUUCUCUCUGUUAGGCGUUCUCUCUUUCUGUGGGACUCCGUCUUUAUCCGAAUGAUGCGGUCUUUGGUGAGGCCUGGCCUAUUCAUCCAAACCCCAUGUGCUGUAUGCUCACCAUUGAGGUGCAGAGUAGCAUGGUCACAAAGGAUGGCAGCGAUUAAGGGAGCUUGUACCUAAAAGUUUUAAGCCAGCAUUCAGAAUAAAGUUUGCAGUUUAACAGUAAAGCCAGAAACUCUUUCACUUCAAAACAAUUUACCAUGAAAUCUUUUAAAUGUUUUUUUAAACCCUGCAGUAUGGAGAUGGUAUGUUUUAGUAUUGUUAUAGUAAGUUGAAAACUUCUGAGUUUCCUUCUCUUAAUAAAAUAAAUAAGGCCACAAGGCCAAAUGGUUAAAUUUUCUUUUACCAUCCUUACCUCAUACAUUAAAAUAAAGGAUUUGUUAUUUAUUCCGAACACACCUACAACAAGUUCUGAUCAAGCUGGA